GGAGAGGUCGCAUAGUGGCCGAGUGCGCGCGCUUGGAAAGCGCGUAUCCGGAAACGGAUCGUGGGUUCGAAUCCCACCCUCUCCGCCC
rnacentral:tRNA from 1 species